AUGAGGCCAUGGACGGAUCCUUUGUGGCCCACACUGGUGACACCUUGCCGGUGCUGGCAGUGUCCGUCAGGACAGCGAGGGGACAGGGCAGGAGCGAGUGGGACUGGCGAGGAGCCCCCGAGUGCAGCCCACGUCUUUCCCCACUGCCCGUGGCAGUCCCGAGCCUGCCCCCUCCUGACCCUCACCCCUCAUCACUCAAUGGAGCAGAGACCCCCAAGCCGCCCCAGGGUGGCCUGGGAAGAGGAUGAGAGCUCCCAGGAGAGCAGCUCUCUAAUGGAGCCCAUCGAGGUGUGCGAGGUGGAGCCGCUGCAGCCUGACGCUAUCUGGCUACCUGUGUAUGAAGAGGAAGAGGAAGCUGUGGUCUUCAUCGAGGCCUACGUCAGAAACCUGGAAAGGGAUGAGGUGCAGAAGAUGAAGUUCCUGAGGAACAUCGUCACUGUGUGCACAACCGCCCAACAGAAGGGCUUGUUAGAGGGCCUGGACAUCUUCUGCAGCAGAAAUAAGCUGGCACAGAACAUCCAGGUGCUGCUGGACGAGGAGCCCAGGGACAAGCUGUGCACAGCGGUGCGGCAGCAAGCCAUGCUUGCUAUCUAUGCCUUAAGCGUGGUGGAGAUGGUGUUGGAGGACAAAAUGAUGUCUCUUGUAGCUGCGUGUUCCAGCAGUGUCUUCUUCCUUCCUCCGGAAGAGGAACUGGACAUUCACCUCUACAAUAUGACCCUGAACAAUCUGGACAUCAUGCUGAGAACAUUGCUGAUCAGCGCUCCUGCCUCCAGCCUCUGGGACAGGGUGAACAUUAUCUUUCAGGUGCUGCUGCAAUUCACCACCUCCGAGACUAAAAUUGUAAAGGAGAGAGCCAUGGAGAGGAUCUGGAAGGUUAUUUUUUUCCUGUACGUUUUUUCCGGGAAGCAGAUAUUUGGAAACUACAUCCAGCCUUCUCAUAGAAAAGACAUUGUCCGCAUGACACUUGAGAUCAUUCGAGAAUCCAGCAUCGAUAACAACAAGAAGCACUGGGCCAAUUUCAUGCUGGAAGUGGCCAUCCAAGACCCUGAAGUCUGGCUGAUGGAAGUGCCAAAGAUUCUGAGGUUCCUCCAUGAAAACCUAAAUAGCAACAGCACAUCUUUACCCCGGAACAUCUUCACUUCAGUACUGCAUGCGCUGACCGGCCAGUUUCCCAGACAAGCGGUCAUAAGCGUGUUGACUGACCUUCCGUCACUUGACAGCACUACCCUGGACAUGUGGGAAGAGAUGAUUUCCCAGGCUAAAAUUUCAAGAACCGUCUUGAGGGAGCUGUGCGCUGUGGUCCGUAGUCGAAGGAGCCGCAAGCUUUUCAGAGCCAACACAAUCAACAGCAGCAUCGUUCAUAUAAUUAGAGUGAUCCGUGGGCGUCGAACACCAGAGGAUUUCUACGAGUCAAAGUACCUCCAGAGGUGUCUGAGGCUUCAAAGCCUGCCGAUGCUCUCUCUGGCGCUCAGAGCCCUUGUCAUGGAGUCAGAGAGAUGUGAAGCGGUGAGUAGUAUUUGGCCAAGUGAAGACCUUUUGGCAGCCUGGUGCUGGGGCAGGAGGCAACGCCAUGGCUUGGCUUGGCUGGGAGGCAGGAGGCGGGGUGAUGGUGGUGAUGGGGCCUGGUGUCUGCCUGUGGAGCUUUCCAGAAGCUUUCCAAGUGGGUUCCUGGGGGCUGUUUGCAAAGGGGCUGA
ensembl:lncRNA